CGCGUAGGCGGCUCGAUAAGGUUGCGGUGAAAGCCCGGGGCUCAACCCCGGGUCGGCCGUGGCAACUGUCGAGCUGGAGCACUGUAGAGGCAGGUGGAAUUCCGGGUGUAGCGGUGGAAUGCGUAGAGAUCCGGAAGAACACCGGUGGCGAAGGCGGCCUGCUGGGCAGUGGCUGACGCUGAGGCGCGACAGCGUGGGGAGCAAACAGGAUUAGAUACCCUGGUAGUCCACGCCGUAAACGAUGGGCACUAGGUGCUUGGGGGAGCGACCCUCCGAGUGCCGGCGCUAACGCAUUAAGUGCCCCGCCUGGGGAGUACGGCCGCAAGGCUGAA
rnacentral:rRNA from 1 species